rnacentral:rRNA from 1 species
UACGGGGGGGGCAAGCGUUGUUCGGAAUUAUUGGGCGUAAAGAGCUCGUAGGCGGUCUGUCGCGUCGGUCGUGAAAACUUGGGGCUUAACCCUGAGCUUGCGGUCGAUACGGGCAUGACUGGAGUUCGGCAGGGGAGACUGGAAUUCCUGGUGUAGCGGUGAAAUGCGCAGAUAUCAGGAGGAACACCGGUGGCGAAGGCGGGUCUCUGGGCCGAUACUGACGCUGAGGAGCGAAAGCGUGGGGAGCAAACAGG